AACGAACGCUGGCGGCAUGCCUAGCACAUGCAAGUCGAACGAGACCUUCGGGUCUAGUGGCGCACGGGUGCGUAACGCGUGGGAACCUGCCCUUAGGUUCGGAAUAACUCCCCGAAAGGGGUGCUAAUACCGGAUAAUGUCUUCGGACCAAAGAUUUAUCGCCUUUGGAUGGGCCCGCGUUGGAUUAGCUAGUUGGUAGGGUAAAAGCCUACCAAGGCGACGAUCCAUAGCUGGUCUGAGAGGAUGAUCAGCCACACUGGGACUGAGACACGGCCCAGACUCCUACGGGAGGCAGCAGUGGGGAAUAUUGGACAAUGGGCGAAAGCCUGAUCCAGCAAUGCCGCGUGAGUGAUGAAGGCCUUAGGGUUGUAAAGCUCUUCUACCCGGGAUGAUAAUGACAGUACCGGGAGAAUAAGCUCCGGCUAACUCCGUG
rnacentral:rRNA from 1 species